ensembl:lncRNA
CUCUCUUGACUCUCAAAGGCAGCACCUGUGGGUGUCCGUGUCACUGUGUCAGCAAAUCCAGAAAGGAGGCAGGGCUCAAAGACAGUGUGAAGAGAAUGGCAAAAUCUGAUUUUUGGAGAACAAAGCUGAAGCUGAGGUUGGGACACAGUUGGACAGCAAAAUAGUAAUAAGAGGUGCAAAUUUGGACAGGAAUGAGACCGCUCAAAUUACCCGCUCAAACCAGAUGUCAAAGCUCCAGGGCCUGAUCUAACAGACAUCACAAGUGCAUCCCAGAAGCCACAUGUCCAGAUUCCCCAGUAUGGAUUGCAAGGCUUUACUGUUCCACUCAAUAGGACUGGAUUUCCCAGGGUGGUCAUGAGCCCAUUUUCCUCAAGACAGGUGCAGUGCCACUGAGCUAUACUCCGGCUCCUAUUGACUGUAUUUUUCCCUGUGUGUGUAGACUGUACUACUAAGUUUCCUGUAACUUUUCUUAAAAGGUGAAUAUCUGGAUUAAUAUAACAUGAUAAAUCUGGAGAAUGUCAUUUUUUUCUCUGCCCAUGUUGGUGUUGUUAUUUGGUUGUGGCUUUCAAAGACUAAUUCUAUAAAGGCUAUACUUUUUGUACUGUACUGCCACUGAAGUCUCUGUUCAAUUAAAUUAGAUGUAAGCCAGCAGUCAGUCAGAGGUUUCUUUAAAUGCCUUGAAGAAGUGUAUUUGUUUUCUGCCAAUAGACUUUAUAUGUAGGUUAAUUCAUGCCUUGAUUACACAGGCUUUUCACAAUCCUGAUUCAUGCUUCAUUUUCCUGCUUGUAUGCUACUUCACCCCUAAGAAAUUAUUGCCUAUAUGUGCAUGCAGACAAAGCUAUAGGAAUAUCUCAGAGCUUUUCAAAGUUUCAUAUGGAAGUUUUGUUCCCCAAACUUUCCUUCCCUUUUUUGCCAGGCUCUUGUUUGUCUCAAUUAAUAUUAAAAUCUUAAGCAGCUGCAAUGAUUCAUAUUUGCUAUUUUUUUAACAAAUACUCUAGGCAUAGAGAUUUUCAAAUCAAGUGAGAUAAAAAUUUAGGUUAAGUCAUGACAUUAUCCUUUCAAUCAGGCUUUUCCUGGUAGAUGUGAUACGGGUUUAAUUGUGACAGAAAUCUUUUGAACAGCUGAAAUACUGAUCUGUUUUCCAUGGUGGUAAAACAGUUCCUGUUUCUCACUGCCAUUGUGCUUUUAAAGCUAAG